AUAUCAAUAAGCGGAGGAAAAGAAACUAACAAGGAUUCCCCUAGUAACGGCGAGUGAAGCGGGAUGAGCUCAAAUUUGUAAUCUGGNGGCCUUUGGCCGUCCGAGUUGUAGUCUGGAGAAGCGUUUUCCGCGUCGGACCGUGUACAAGUCCCUUGGAACAGGGCGUCGUAGAGGGUGAGAAUCCCGUCUUUGACACGGACUGCCGAUGCUUUGUGAUGCGCUCUCGAAGAGUCGAGUUGUUUGGGAAUGCAGCUCAAAACGGGUGGUAAAUUCCAUCUAAAGCUAAAUACGGGCGAAAGACCGAUAGCGAACAAGUACCGUGAGGGAAAGAUGAAAAGCACUUUGGAAAGAGAGUUAAACAGUACGUGAAAUUGUUGAAAGGGAAACGCUUGAAGUCAGUCGCGUCUCCUGGGACUCAGCCUUGCUUCUGCUCGGUGUACUUCCUGGGGUUGACGGGCCAGCAUCGAUUUUGACCGUCGGAGAAAGGCCUUGGGAACGUGGCACCCUUUGGGUGUGUUAUAGCCCUCGGUCGUAUGCGACGGUUGGGAUCGAGGACCGCAGCACGCCUUUUUGGCCGGGGUUCGCCCACGUACGUGCUUAGGAUGCUGGCGUAAUGGCUUUAAGCGACCCGUCUUGAAACACGGACCAAGGAGUCUAACAUGCCUGCGAGUGUUUGGGUGGUAAACCCGGACGCGAAAUGAAAGUGAAAGGUUGGGACCUCUGUCGUGGAGGGCACCGACGCCCGGACCAGACCUUUUGUGACGGUUCCGAGGUAGAGCAUGCAUGCUGGGACCCGAAAGAUGGUGAACUAUGCUUGAGUAGGGUGAAGCCAGAGGAAACUCUGGUGGAGGCUCGUAGCGAUUCUGACGUGCAAAUCGAUCGUCGAACUUGAGUAUAGGGGCGAAAGACUAAUCGAACCAUCUAGUAGCUGGUUCCUGCC
rnacentral:rRNA from 1 species